rnacentral:rRNA from 1 species
CCAGAGAAAGAGGAGCCGGUAUCAGGCUCAAUAUGCCCAUGACACCUAGCCUCGCCACACCCCCAAGGGUAUUCAGCAGUGAUCAACAUUGUAAACUAGCGAAAGCUAAAUUCAGUUACUAGCUAUAAAGACCGGUCAAUCUCGUGCCAGCCACCGCGGUUAUACGGGCAGGUUUAAAUUGAUAACAUCGGCACAAAGCGUGGUUAAACUCUCACCUUAAUAAAGCAAAAAUUAAGCCCGGCUGUGAUAUGCUUUCGCUUUAAAUAACCUCAAUCACGAAAGUAGCUUUAACUCUUAUUGAACCCACGAUCGCUAGGGCACAAACUGGGAUUAGAUACCCCACUAUGCCUAGCCCUAAACUUUGAUUACUCCGCCUGGGAACUACGAGCGUCAGCUUAAAACCCAAAAGACUUGGCGGUGCCCUAUACCACCUAGAGGAGCCUGUUCUAUAAUCGAUAAUCCCCGAUUCACCUCACCACCUCUUGCCAAUACCGCCUGUAUACCUCCGUCGCCAACUGACCCCUUAAGGGAAAUAGUCGGUUAAAUGGCCUUCUUCCAGUAAGUCAGGUCAAGGUGCAGCGAAUGAGAUGGGAAGAAAUGGGCUACAUUUUCUACUAAUAGACUAUACGAAAAAUCACUAUGAAAUCUGAUUGGAAGGUGGAUUUAGCAGUAAAAAGAGACUAGAGCGCUCUUUUUAAGUAGGCUCUAGGGCGCGCACACACCGCCCGUC